UUUUUAAUGAGAGUUUGAUCCUGGCUCAGGAUUAACGCUGGCGGCGUGCAUAACACAUGCAAGUCGAACGAUGAAACUUAAAUGAACUCUUCGGAGUGAUUUUAAGUGGAUUAGUGGCGGACGGGUGAGUAACGCGUGAGUAACCUGCCUUAGAGAAGGGGAUAGCCUUUGGAAACGAAGAAUAAUACCCUAUAACACCAACACCUCGCAUGAAGAGUUGGUCAAAGAUUUAUCGCUCUAAGAUGGACUUGCGUCUGAUUAGUUAGUUGGUGAGGUAACGGCCCACCAAGACAGCGAUCAGUAGCCGGCUUGAGAGAGUGUACGGCCACAUUGGGACUGAGACACGGCCCAGACUCCUACGGGAGGCAGCAGUGGGGAAUUUUGCACAAUGGGGGAAACCCUGAUGCAGCGACGCCGCGUGAUUUAGAAGGCCUUCGGGUUGUAAAAAUCUUUUCUAUGGGAAGAAAAUGACAGUACCAUAGGAAUAAGGACCGGCUAAUUACGUGCCAGCAGCCGCGGUAAUACGUAAGGUCCGAGCGUUGUCCGGAAUCAUUGGGCGUAAAGGGUACGUAGGCGGGUAAGCAAGUUAGAAGUGAAAUCCUGUAGCUCAACUACAGUAAGCUUUUAAAACUGCUCAUCUUGAGAUAUGGAAGGGAAAGUGGAAUUCCUAGUGUAGCGGUGAAAUGCGCAGAUAUUAGGAGGAAUACCGGUGGCGAAGGCGACUUUCUGGCCAUAAUCUGACGCUGAGGUACGAAAGCGUGGGUAGCAAACAGGAUUAGAUACCCUGGUAGUCCACGCCGUAAACGAUGAGUGUUAGGUGUCUGGAGUAAAUCUGGGUGCCGCAGCUAACGCAUUAAACACUCCGCCUGGGGAGUACGCGCGCAAGCGUGAAACUCAAAGGAAUUGACGGGGACCCGCACAAGCAGCGGAGCAUGUGGUUUAAUUCGACGCAACGCGAAGAACCUUACCAAGUCUUGACAUAUUACGGCGGGAGCUAGAGAUAGUUCCUUACUUCUUCGGAAGACUGUAAUACAGGUGGUGCAUGGUUGUCGUCAGCUCGUGUCGUGAGAUGUUGGGUUAAGUCCCAUAACGAGCGCAACCCCUAUCGUUAGUUACCAUCAUUAAGUUGGGGACUCUAACAAUACUGCCGGUGACAAACCGGAGGAAGGUGGGGAUGACGUCAAAUCAUCAUGCCCUUUAUGACUUGGGCUACACACGUGCUACAAUGGCAGGUACACAGAGCAGCUAAACAGCGAUGUCACGCGAAUCUCAAAAAGCCUGUCCCAGUUCGGAUUGCACUCUGCAACUCGAGUGCAUGAAGUUGGAGUUGCUAGUAAUCGUGGAUCAGAAUGCCGCGGUGAAUGCGUUCCCGGGUCUUGUACACACCGCCCGUCACACCAUGGAAGUUGGCAAUACCCGAAGCCUGUGAGCGAACCCUUGUGGACGCAGCAGUCGAAGGUAGGGUCAGUAACUGGGGUGAAGUCGUAACAAGGUAGCCGUAUCGGAAGGUGCGGCUGGAUCACCUCCUUUCUA
rnacentral:rRNA from 1 species